rnacentral:rRNA from 1 species
GAUGAACGCUGGCGGCGUGCCUAAUACAUGCAAGUCGAGCGAACAGACGAGGAGCUUGCUCCUCUGACGUUAGCGGCGGACGGGUGAGUAACACGUGGAUAACCUACCUAUAAGACUGGGAUAACUUCGGGAAACCGGCGCUAAUACCGGAUAAUAUAUUGAACCGCAUGGUUCAAUAGUGAAAGACGGCUUUGCUGGCACUUAUAGCUGGAUCCGCGCCGCAUUAGCUAGUUGGUAAGGUAACGGCUUACCAAGGCAACGAUGCGUAGCCGACCUGAGAGGGUGAUCGGCCACACUGGAGCUGAGACACGGUCCAGGCUCCUACGGGAGGCAGCAGUAGGGAAUCUUCCGCAGUGGGCGAAGGCCUGACGGAGCAACGCCACGUGAGUGAUGAAGGUCUUCGGAUCGUAAAACUCUGUUAUUAGGGAAGAACAAAUGUGUAAGUAACUAUGCACGUCUUGACGGUACCGAGUCAGAAAGCCACGGCUAACUACGUG